rnacentral:rRNA from 1 species
GUGGGGAAUAUUCCGCAAUGGACGAAAGUCUGACGGAGCAACGCCGCGUGAGUGAUGAAGGUUUUCGGACUGUAAAGCUCUGUUGUUUAGGACGAAAGUGCCUGUUGCAAAUAGUUACAGGUAUUGACGGUACUGAACGAGGAAGCCACGGCUAACUACGUGCCAGCAGCCGCGGUAAUACGUAGGUGGCAAGCGUUGUCCGGAAUUAUUGGGCGUAAAGAGCAUGUAGGCGGAGAUUUAAGUCUGUUGUGAAAAUGCGGGGCUCAACCCCGUAUUGCGAUGGAAACUGAAUUUCUUGAGUGCAGGAGAGGAAAGGGGAAUUCCCAGUGUAGCGGUGAAAUGCGUAGAUAUUGGGAGGAACACCAGUGGCGAAGGCGCCUUUCUGGACUGUGUCUGACGCUGAGAUGCGAAAGCCAGGGUAGCGAACGGGAUUAGAAACCCUUGUAGUCC